UAGGGAAUAUUCCGCAAUGGGCGAAAGCCUGACGGAGCGACGCCGCGUGAGCGAUGAAGGUCUUCGGAUCGUAAAGCUCUGUUGUUAGGGAAGAACAAGUACCGGAGUAACUGCCGGUACCUUGACGGUACCUAACCAGAAAGCCCCGGCUAACUACGUG
rnacentral:rRNA from 2 species